rnacentral:snRNA from 1 species
AUAUAUCUUCAGCUGUACAUAUUUUAAAAUUAGAACACAGAAGAUUAACAUGGCCCUGCACAAGGGUAACAUGUCGGUUCCUGAAGUAUUCCAUAUUUUC